GGAUAACCUACCCUUAGGACUGGGAUAACCCUGGGAAACUGGGGCUAAUACCGGAUAGGCAAUUUUUCCUGGAAUGGUUUUUUGUUUAAAUGUUUUUUCGCCUAAGGAUGGGUCUGCGGCCGAUUAGGUAGUUGGUUAGGUAAUGGCUUACCAAGCCGUUGAUCGGUACGGGUUGUGAGAGCAAGAGCCCGGAGAUGGAACCUGAGACAAGGUUCCAGGCCCUACGGGGUGCAGCAGGCGCGAAACCUCCGCAAUGUGAGAAAUCGCGACGGGGGGAUCCCAAGUGCCAUUCUUAACGGGAUGGCUUUUCAUUAGUGUAAAGAGCUUUUGGAAUAAGAGCUGGGCAAGACCGGUGCCAGCCGCCGCGGUAACACCGGCAGCUCUAGUGGUAACAAUUUUUAUUGGGCCUAAAGCGUCCGUAGCCGGUUUAAUAAGUCUCUGGUGAAAUCCUGUAGCUUAACUGUGGGAAUUGCUGGAGAUACUAUUAGACUUGAGACCGGGAGAGGUUAGAGGUACUCCCAGGGUAGAGGUGAAAUUCUGUAAUCCUGGGAGGACCGCCUGUUGCGAAGGCGUCUAACUGGAACGGUUCUGACGGUGAGGGACGAAAGUUAGGGGCGCGAACCGGAUUAGAUACCCGGGUAGUCCUAACUGUAAACGAUGCGGACUUGGUGUUGGGGUGGCUUUGAGCU
rnacentral:rRNA from 1 species